CCCGAACGGCGGAUCACUCGGCUCGCGGAU
rnacentral:rRNA from 1 species